UAGUGAACUAGUACCGUGAGGGAAAGGCGAAAAGAACCUCGUUAAGAGGAGUGAAAUAGAACCUGAAACCUUACGCUUAUAAGCAGUUGGAGUUCUACUGGCUGUAAAGUCAAGAGUGACAGCGUGCCUUUUGCAUAAUGAGCCAACGAGUUAUUUUCAGUGGCAAGGUUAAGUCAAAGAUGGAGCCGAAGCGAAAGCGAGUCUUAAUAGGGCGAAUUAGUUGAUAGGAUUAGACCCGAAACUUGGCGAUCUACCCAUGUCCAGGUUGAAGUUGGGGUAAUACCCAAUGGAGGACCGAACCAACCGAUGUUGAAAAAUCGGUGGAUGAGGUGUGGGUAGGGGUGAAAGGCCAAUCAAGCCAAGAGAUAUCUGGUUCUCUCCGAAAACUGUUUAGGCAGUGCCUUUUGUUAGAGUUGUGGAGGUAGAGCACUGAAUGGGCUAGGGGGCCUACAAGCUUACCGAACCCAAACAAACUCCGAAUGCCAUAACUCGAUGCAAGGGAGACAGCGAGUGGGGGAUAAGCUUCAUUCGCGAGAGGGAAACAACCCAGAUCAACAGCUAAGGUCCCAAAAUUUAUACUUAGUGAGGAAGGAUGUUUUGUUGCAAAAACAGCCAGGAUGUUAGCUUAGAAGCAGCUAUCAUUUAAAGAGUGCGUAACAGCUCACUGGUCGAGGGAUCGGGCAUCGAUAAUAAUCGGGCAUUAAGCAUAUUACCGAAGCUAUGGCUCUGCCGUUUAUAUGGCAGGGGGUAGGAGAGCAUUCUAAUGAAGCAGAAGCAGAAAAGAGAUUUUCUGUAGAUUUUUUAGAAAAGAAAAUGUAGGCAUAAGUAACGAUAAUGCGGGUGAGAACCCUGCACGCCAAUAGACUAAGGUUUCCUGAUCAACGCUAAUCGGAUCAGGGUUAGUCGGGACCUAAGGCAACCCCGAAAGGGUUAGUCGAUGGAAAAUCGGUUAAUAUUCCGAUACCAAAUUAUAUAGUGAAGGAGUGACGAGGGAGUGAAAGUCUCGCGAGCUGACGGAAGUGCUCGUUAAAGGGAGUAGGCGUUGAUUCUAAUAGGCAAAUCCGUUAGAAGAGCUGAACCUGAUAGUACUAAGAGUUUUCGGACAAUUAGAUAGUAGAUGUAACCAUACCUCCAAGAAAAGCUUCUAGCGUUAAUAUAUAAUUUGCUCGUACUUCAAACCAACACAGGUAGUCAAGUAGAGAAUACUAAGGCGCUCGAGUGAUGCGUGGCUAAGGAACUAGGCAAAAUAGCCCCGUAACUUCGGGAGAAGGGGUGCCACAAGAAGUGAUGAGACUUGCUCUCGUAGCUGAAAGUGGUUGCAACAAAGAGGCUCAGGCGACUGUUUAGCAAAAACACAGCACUCUGCUAACUCGUAAGAGGAUGUAUAGGGUGUGACGCCUGCCCGGUGCCGGAAGGUCAAA
rnacentral:rRNA from 1 species